AUGUGACAAUUUUUCUUAAACACUAAAUUCAAGAAAAAAUUCUAGAAAAAAAUUGCUUACCCCAUUGGCAGAUUUUUUUGCUUGUUUUAUGCACAAAAUCACUUAAAUUUGAUAUUUUUGGUCUAGAAACUAGACUUAUUUUCUUGGGCCGUUUUACUCAUUAAGAAAAGCAUCUUAAUUUAAGAAUUUUUAGAUAUUUCUACUGAAAACAAGACAAAAAUACUAUGAUUUUUUUUCUUGAAAAUUAUUUUUUUACCGAGCCCCUAAGGUGACAUUGGAGUAAAAAAAAGUUUAGUUUCAUGUGUUCACGCAAAACCUUCAUGUGCAGAAUUUUUUUAAAAGUUUAGUUUCGCGUAAAACUAUCGCGUGCGCACGUGAAACUUUCGCUUUCACGUGCGGGCACGAUAGUUUCAGGUGAGCACGCGAUAGUUUCACGUGCUCGCGCGAUAGCUUUAUGUGAGCACACGAAACUAAACUUAAAAAAAAAAAUUCUGCACAUGAAAGUUUCGCGUGAGCACAUGAAACUAAACUUUAUUUUAAUUUUUGCUCCAUGUCCCCUUAGGGGCUCCGUAUUUUUUGCAGUGCAGACAUGACAUCUAUAAAUCGCAAAUGAGCUUGAAAUUUUGCGCACCUAAUAAAGCACUGUCAAUGUUUAAAUCCCUUUCGAGCAGCAAGAAUGGCUUAUAUUUCCAAAAACCUGCAGCAAUCGUACAAGCAAAAGUCUGCUAAGACCGUGACGUGGCGCUAAGGAUUUUCCACGUCAAAGUUUUUAUAAAUAUGGACAGGGAUUUUUGCGUAUGCACACUUUACCAUCAAAUCUGUGCGUAUGCACGCUUUAUAAAUGAGGCCCCUGGUGUGCCCUUCAACUGUGCGAGUUUUUUAUUUUAGAUAUCAAUAAGCGAGGUAAGAAGCAAGAAUGUUGGAACUUUGUCGGAGUAGACACGCCAUCUUAAAUUUGAUGCAAACUUUAAGGUUUUUGGGGGUGGAGGUAGUUGUGUAUAAAGUUAAUCCUUAAAGGGGACAUUUCAAGAAUUUUUUAAGAUCUCAAAUAAAUCCUUGGGUCUCCAGAGUAUGUGAAGUUUUAGCUCAAAAUACCAUAUAGAUAUUUUUUAUUGCAUAUUAAAAUUGUCACUUUGUAGGUGUGAGGUGUGUAGGUGUGUCCUUUAAAAUGCAAAUGAGCUGAUGAAAUGCAAACACUGAUCGCCAUAAUAGGGGUGUGUUGAAAUUGAAACUCAAUUCUGCUGUCUCUCUCUCUGCACUAAAUGGCAGUGCUGUGGUUGAAUAGUGCAGAUUAAGGGGCUGUAUUAUAAUAAGAUCCCCUUCUGACAUCACAAGGGGAGCCAAAUUUCAAUGAGCUAUUUUUUCACAUGCUUGCAGAGAAUGGUUUACCUAAACUAAGUUACUGGGUUGAUCUUUUACACAUUUUCAAGAUUGAUAGAAGCACUGGGGAAACAGAUAUUCAUGAUAUGUCCCCUUUAAGUUUACAGAAUAUUGAAAAUACAUACUUUCAUGAAGUCAGUGGACAACAAAAAAUUUUGGACAUGACAUACAAGCUACACUGCAAAAAAAAUGAAUGAAAAAAGAAUUCUUAGUAUUUUUGUGUCUUGUUUUGAGUAAUAAUAUCUAAAAAUGAAUUAAUCUUAAAUUAAGAUGCUUUUUCUUGAUGAGCAAAACGGCCCAAGAAAAUAAGUCUAGUUUUUAUACCAAAAAUAUCAAAUUUAAGUGAUUUUGUGCAAAAAAAAGCAAAAAAUUCUGCCAAUGGGGUAAGCUAAUUUAUUUUGAAUUUAGUGUUUAGGAAAAAUGUUCAAGAUAUUUUUGCUUACCCCAUUGGCAGAUUUUUUUUGCUUGUUUUAUGCACAAAAUCACUUAAAUUUGAUAUUUUUUGGUAUUUGAUAUUUUUUGCUCAUCAAAAAGCAUCUCAAUUUAAUAUUUUUACUGAAAAAAAGACAAAAAUACUAAGAUUUUUUUCUUGAAAAUCAUUUUUGCAGUGUAAUAACAGCAUGAUUCUAUGUUGACGAUACAUGGGCAGAACUAAUUUCUGCGAAAUUACUAUGAUUCUCUUUAAAUUGCAUCAGUUCACGUACGAAUCGUUUCUUGCACAAUUUACAAAAAAUUAUUCAGUUUUCUUUUCAUAAAUGACUACCAUUGAUCAAGUCUCUUAGCACCUCCUGAUCUUUUUAUCAAUUGCUUAAUUGUUUUUUCAGCACAUUUUUUUUUAGAGAUGGAAUAUCGCCCCCUGUCUUUAGACAGAUUAGUUCACAGAGCUUUAGGAUUUUAGGACCAGCAGGGCACUUAGUAUUCAUUAUUUCGAGUACAAUGUUCCUAAUAACAAAUUUCUCAUCAACGGCAAAAACUUUUAAAGGUGCAGUGUGUUAAUUUUAGCGGGCAUCUAGUGGUGAGGUUGUGAAUUGCAACCAAUGGCUCAGUCCACUGCUUACCCCUUGUUUUUUAAUCACAUGGAGAAGCUACGGUAGCCUCCACCGGUCAAACAUGUAAUCGGAGACAACUUAGUAAAAAAGUUUGUCCAUUAAGAGCUUCUGUAGAAACAUGGCGGCAGAAAAUGGCGACUUCCAUGUAAGGGGACCCUCGGUGUAUGUAGAUAAAAACGUCUCAUUCUAAGGUAAUAAACACAUAACGGUUCAUUAUGAAAGGUCUUUAUACACCCCUGAUAAUAUAGUUUUGUAUAUUAUUUUGCAUUUCUGUCAAAAGAUCCUUCUAAAAAUUACACACUGCACCUUUAAGGAAGUAUUAAAUUUAUUUAGCUUACAGGGUUUGACAGAAACCAUAAGGCAGCUUUGUGCGAUCAGCAUCCGUCGUGAGAUUCUACGCAUGCAGAACAGUUUCAUUCACCCAUAUGCUCCGUUUUGAGAUAUUGUGCAAUUAUUAAAAAAAUAAUGAAUGUACUGGAUCUAAAUGUACCAAUGUGACAGAUGUGCGAAGCCUAUUUUAUUCACCAGCCAAGUAUAUUCAGCAUUUGGGUCUCAUUCACAAGCUAAAUAAAUUCAGGUAUUUGUUCGUAAAACCAUUAUUGCAUAAAUGAAUAUAAAUGUAUGCAAUUUACACCAAAAUUUGUGCUUAGGUUUAAUUUAUAAAGCCCUCACAGUUAUUGGUUAACAGUGCAUGUUGUGCUUAAUCAAAUAUCAAUUAAUAUUGUCUGAAUUGCAACUGGUUGGCUGUAUUAAUGUUGGGAUAUAUCUUUAUUUAAAAAAAAAUGCUUCAAAAGUAAAGCCUGCAAACAGGAUUGGAUAUCUGUUGCUUUGGUGUAUUAGUAAUAAAGAUUUAAUGUUUUACUGUGGAAACUUUUAUUGCGGUUUAACUUUUACGUUUUUAAUUGAUAGCUUGUCGUAAUUUGUUUAAAACCUGAAGAGAAGUCAAAAAUAAGAACAAGUAAAGAGUUUGACUCAAGGUUUUUUAUUUCGAUAAAUGAAAAGUGGUAUUUGAAUAAAUUGUUAAUUGUUCACAGAACACACCGUCGUAGCGUAGCAGCAAGCACCGUAAGAACUGGUUUACGUAACAUGGCGUUAUGAAUAAAAUUAAGAAAAUAUGAUAUAAAAUCUGCAAAAAAAAAAAGUUUAUGCACAAAUAAGUGUUUAAAUCAAUCUAAAAAAUAAACAAUUGCAAA